AUUCUUAGACUGAUCCAAUAAGUUUAAAUCUAAAUCUGGGCAAUUUCUCUCUAGCUUUAAUACAGUUGCCAUUGGGAAAAAAAAAAAAAAAAAGCCAAAUUCUCUGAUGUCUUCAUUAUUUCAAAAGUGGGCAACAAGUGGUGAACAUUUUUGUGGACUCUAGGUGGGCAAUCCAACAGAGAAAUAUGCAGAUCACUGCACUGAGGUAGCCCAGAAAACAUACAUCUGAUUUCACCCAGCUAUAAUAGUCAUCUGAGUCCACAUGUCCUCCAACACUGUACACCUGGGAAGACUUACUCAUUCAAGAGCAACUUUAGGCCUGAGUGUAUUCUAUGAACUUGUGUGGUUUCUAGAUCUGCCUAUAUUUUCCCAGUCCUGGGAAUCAGAGGCAGAAAUAACCUCAGUUGUUAGGGGGAAGAGGCUACACAGGAGUGUCCUCUUCACCUUCCUGAGUCUGAAGACAGAUAUUUACCUCCAUUACAGGACAUGACGGAGGAGCUGAAGAGAAACUAUGGUACUGUGCUGCAGCUAGCAAGUAUGUGAAUUGCCACUGAUUCAGGUCUUUUUAGAGGUUUCAGUCCUUGUUCUAAGAUGUUCCAUAACACAACAGCUGUGUCCCUCAGAAGAAGAAACAUCAGUACACGGAAAUCAUGGAGAAGCUCCUAUGAUCUUCAAGCAAUUACCCACCAAUACUGCUACCUGCAGAAAAUAAACUGCUUGAUUAGUUUCUGGUUUGAAAAGGCAGCCACUGGGUCAUGCUGUCAGUGUAGCAGGCUGGUUGGCAUCGCACAGAGAUAUGCAAAAACAUUAAGGAAGGCAAAUGUCUCUUGUGGUGAAUGAAGCUGAACUCAACCAAGAGAGUAAAUAGAGCACAAGCCUGAUUCAAAUAUGAUCUGCAAAAACUCCUCUCCUCCCUUUGACUGUGGUAAGAUCCUAUGUAGAUUAAGCUUCUUAUGGCAAAUUAGGAUAUAACCACAGUUCCUAUUUCCUGGAGAUAUUCAUAGUCAGAUUAUGUAUAAUUGCCUUUUUAAUAUAUAUUUUUUCUGUACAAGUCAGCUCUGCUUGUCCUUUGAUCUUUUUCUGUAAUAGGUCCACAGGCUUCUACUGUAUCUACAAACCUCUUCAUUGCUGAGCAACACAGGUGGUACUGCCUGUGUUGGUCUAUGGUAGGAUGUUUCAGUAUUUACACCUCAGACUUUCCAUUUUUUCUCCUUUUAACUAUUAUUCACCAUUAAAUCAUCAGCUACUGUGAAAUCCAGUUCUACUUUAGCAUAACUGCCUUCCAGGUACUGUUAUUUCACUGUGCUUCCCAAUACUUUUCAGUGAGUACGUUUUCCAAGAAGUAUGCACCUCCAUUUGCCACAUCUAUUUCUGUACAAGCCUUCACAUAAUUGCUCUAACUUGAAAAGCAUUUUUACAUUAGGCAUAUGAAUAUGAUUAUGAAUAUAAUUAACCCUUAAAGGAAAAGACAAAUGAGCAUGUCUACAAAUGAGCAUGUAGGAACAUGUCAACCUAGUUCCUAGGUCCGCAACUUAGAUUUGAGUAGCCCAGGAUGCAUACAAGGCAUAGCACAGGCAUAGUGG
rnacentral:lncRNA from 1 species